UACGGGGGGGGCAAGCGUUGUUCGGAAUUACUGGGCGUAAAGGGCUCGUAGGCGGCCAACUAAGUCGGACGUGAAAUCCCCAGGCUCAACCUGGGAACUGCGUCCGAUACUGGAUGGCUUGAAUCCGGGAGAGGGAUGCAGAAUUCCAGGUGUAGCGGUGAAAUGCGUAGAUAUCUGGAGGAAUACCGGUGGCGAAGGCGGCAGCCUGGACCGGUAUUGACGCUGAGGCGCGAAAGCCAGGGGAGCAAACGGG
rnacentral:rRNA from 1 species